UACGGAGGGUCCAAGCGUUAUCCGGAUUCAUUGGGUUUAAAGGGUGCGCAGGCGGGCUUGUAAGUCAGUGGUGAAAUUCUGCAGCUUAACUGUAGAACUGCCAUUGAUACUGCAAGUCUUGAAUAUGGUUGAGGUAGGCGGAAUGUGUUGUGUAGCGGUGAAAUGCAUAGAUAUGACACAGAACGCCAAUUGCGAAGGCAGCUUACUAAGCCAUGAUUGACGCUGAGGCACGAAAGCGUGGGGAGCGAAC
rnacentral:rRNA from 1 species